rnacentral:rRNA from 1 species
UACGAAGGGGGCUAGCGUUGUUCGGAAUUACUGGGCGUAAAGGGCGCGUAGGCGGUGCUUCAAGUCAGGCGUGAAAGCCCCGGGCUCAACCUGGGAACCGCGCUUGAGACUGGAGAACUAGAGUUCGGGAGAGGAUGGUGGAAUUCCCAGUGUAGAGGUGAAAUUCGUAGAUAUUGGGAAGAACACCGAUGGCGAAGGCAGCCAUCUGGACCGACACUGACGCUGAGGCGCGAAAGCGUGGGGAGCAAACAGG